AUCUUUUAGUGCAUGUGUUUUAGCUUCUGUAUCUUCUGCCUGGCAGAAGUGGUUGGAAGAGAUUAUAUCCGGGUUGGGAGGAGUUUUUGAUGACGUUGGCUGUCUUUCUGAGUCAGUGAGAAGUGUAGAUGGAGUCAAUGGAUGGAAUUGAAUUGGAUGAUCAGCCAUGACUGUAUUAAAUGGCUGAACAUGUUCAAAGGGCCGAAUGGACUGUGCAUGCUCCCGGCUCCCAUGUUCAUGAGCUGCAUUCAUACCUGAGCAGCAAGGUACAUCUUGCUUUAGCUUUGAAUUUGAAAGCACCAUGACUGGAAUCUGGGAAUUUUCAAAGCAAAGCUUUGUUUCCUGAGAAAACGUCAGUUUUUUUUUUAAAACAUGUCUUCAAACCUUGCUGAGUGAUGAGAUUUCUGCAGUUGCAGCCAAUCAGAUGCAAUUGGGGGCAGGAGUGGAUUUCUGCAUCCUCCCACCCCUUACCUGCAGCAAUGACAGGUCUGACUCAAAGCUGCUCAUUUCAAUGAAACUCAGAAACUGGACUCAGUGCAGUGACGUGGGUGGCAGCACGUAUAAAAGAAGCUGUAGGGAAGUUGGAGUGAAUUUCAAAUGCAGAAACCCAUACACUCUGCAUGGACCCUGUGUGAAGCAGAGAGGCAGAGAGGGAGAGAGAUCAAGUAAAUCAGUCUGCUUGUCCGAAAUCGAACUUUUUUGCUAGAUCAGAGAACAAGGUGUCAAUCUUUACGAAUCUUACCUACAAAAGUGACCCACCUGUGAUAGCACAUCCUGAAGAGGAGUUCAGUUUUCUUGCAGGUUCUUUGAGAAAACUAACAAUUUCUACAAGUAUUCCACAGUGGUUUCCAGGAUGAGAACAUUCCUGCUGUUCCUGAUGGUCCUCUGUUUCGAUAGACAGCUUGCAAACCCCCUGGAGAUGGACUGGGACAGAGAUGUUUCAAUGCGUAGACCGCAGCUUGCAGUCAGACCCUUUGAUCACACGAACUCUGAAGAACUCCACCAGGCAGUUGGUUUUCCCUGUUCCAGUCACCCACGGGACCCGAGUGUGAUAACAAAUUCCAAGAAUCCUCUUUACAAUCUCUUCCGAAGACAACAGGCCCUCAGCUGGGAGCUGUGCAUAAUAAAGCUCAUCCUGAACAAACACCACUCACGAGGAGCUGAGUUAGAUUUGGUGAAGAGGGAGAAAGAUUUGGUGAAGAGGGAGAAAGAUUCUGCCUCGUACAACUGGAAUUCUUUUGGAUUAAGAUAUGGGAAGAGUCUGGUUGAUGGUGAGAAGAAAUGAGAGGGAUGGUUUCAGAUAUUAUUACGCUGUGGGCCAUGAUCAGAUGGCCUAUUACUUACCAGAGAUACUAUAAAUUUAUUGUUUAUUAAUAGCUGGCAUCAGAAGGCAUGCCAAUUAUUUCCUCUGUAAUUAACUUCAUAUAAAAUCUUACAUGAAGUUUAAAUGAAGCAUUGAAUGAAUUUGUCAUUAGAAAUGAAGUUUUGAAUUGAAUUGAAUCAGCUUUACUAUCAUAUGUAGUCAAAUGAGUACAGCGAAAAGUUUACAAGUCACUAGU